GGCCAGUGCAUUUUCAGAACACCACAGAGAUGGUCAGGAGCAACAGGAGUCUGGCACAGGUUCUGGACAAGACCCAAAGUCCAAACACACAUCUAGCCUUUGUGAGCAAGAUGGCUCUCACGCGGUCAGAUUUUUGGAGUUUGGGUUUGGCUAAUGACAUGGAUGGGAUGAUCCUGAACAGCUGUCUUAAAGUUAUUGAGAAG